CCAUUCAGCUGCUAGCCAGCUAGUGGGAAUGGAGGUACCAGGAUUCCGGGCCUUCUCCUACCCGUGUUAUUGCCUCUGCUUGCCGAGAAGAGACCUGAGAAUCUAGAAACAACAACUCAAGCUGGGGCCAAGAUCCCUAUGUAGAGACUUUGCUUUGUGGUAUCAAGAAACCAACGGUGAGAGAAGAGCAGAAGGCGGGCUGCAGGUGAGACCAGGAGCAGUACUCCAUUUCUGGGGCUAUGUCGCUGGCCCACUGCAGGUUGGGUGCUGUGAGGACCUGUGACUAGAACCUCUUGCAGGCCUGGGGCUCCAUGCCUGGAAACUCUCUGUGGGUUUUAGCAGUUCCGAGGAAGGCUUACUGCUCCCCAGCUGCAAACCAAGAAGGUAGAACACUGUGUGUCGGGAUCUCUCUAACCUAAGCACGCACCGUCACCUCCACCCCCCACCCCGGAAAGAAAAGUGAAAAGCACGGCGCUGAAUUAGUGUCCUGACACAACCCUCUGCCCAGCCUGGCCUCUGCUGCAGUUGUUUGCGAUGGAGUUGGUGUCACAACUCCUCAACUCUGUUCCACCUCACCAGAUGGCUUAGCAAGGCGAUUUAACCUUUAAACGUCGGGUGAAGUAAUGCUUAUCUCUUAGAAGUGAAAGAGAAACAAAUGAGGCAAUAGAUAUAUACCAAGGACCUUACGUACUGCCUGGCACAACCAUGAGCUCACACAUUCGCUGGAGUUAUGCCACCAUAUUGUCACUAAUGACACGACCACGAAGGCGUGAAAUCCUGGUGGCCAACAGCCUGCGCUCCUGGAUGGACAGAGACACCUUCAUCUCACCUUUGAUCUUUGCCACGUGUGAUGGUUAUUGUUAAUUGUCAGCUUGACAGAAGCUGGAAUCAGCUCAGAGGUGGACCUCUGAGCUGCUGGAUUAUUUGGAUUACAUUAUCUCCUGUGGGAAAGCCUGCAUUAAUGUUCUGCCUAUUUUGGAAUUUUGGAGGAAAAAAAAAAUACCUAAAAGGACCAGACCGUAACGAUGUAACUCUGCCUGUAAGGAUCAAAAUAUGUGUUUCCCAAAUGGCUCACCCCUUCUUCUGGCUUUCUUAUCCUCUGCACAAUUGAUACAAUCCGGCUGAGCAGAACGUGGAUGCCUAAAGAAAGGAAGCACCCCACGUCUGUCCAGACCCCAUCCUGAGUCCGAAGAGCCAAACCUCAGGCAUAUGAAUUGACUCCAUCCUUCCUCAUUCAUCCCAGUCUUCUGCCUA